UUGUGUCUAUCCGCAUGAAUUUGAUCAAGUUUGCUCUGUUUUGUUGAGGUUAAUUGGAGAAAUAGCAUGAGAUGAUCUAUCCGCAUGAAAUUUGAUCAAUGCUUGAUGUUAUUACCAAUGAAGCAAGGUAAUUCUUCUUCCUUGGGACAAGGUAGGUCAAUCACAUUUCUGAAACGUAAAAAGCUUCAAAAAAUGAUAUUAGACUCUGUCAAUGAAACGGUAGGCUUCAGCACAGUAGCUAGAAGUGGUGGUGAUGCUUUGAGACCAACUUCAUGAAUGGAA
rnacentral:lncRNA from 1 species